CCCGCACUUCACCUCCACCUGAAUUAAAUCUGUCCGGAAGGAAUCGAGUUCGCGUCCGCCUCAGCUCCAGCUCCAGCUCCGGGGUCCGCCGCCUCGUCGUGUCCGACCACUUGCUGCCCACCACGCAGCGCCUCAGGGGCGCCUCGCUGCCCGCGUCCUCCGCGCACAGGGCCGCCGCCCAGCAGUGCAAGCCCGCGCCGCAGGUCGCCUACACCCAGAGCUUCCAGUACGGCCAGGCAAUGGCGCACUAAGCAGAUUGCUUUGCAAGCUCGUGAAGAAGGAGAAGAUUUAGGUCUCAGGUGAGAUCGAUGGAUACCGAGUGUAUGUUGGUGGACCACCAGCAUACAACUCCUCUAUGGCCGGAUCAGCGCAGCCGUUCAUCUCCUCCAUGCCUGCCCAGAGCCGCCAUCUAUCUCCACUAUGGCCGUCAAGAUCUGGCACUCUGGCUGCAAGAAGAAGAUUGCUGUUGUCCAAGAAGACCGAUGGGUUCAGUUUCAGAGUUUGAGUUCAAUACUUGAGCCUGCACUUUAAGUUGGAUCUGCAAGAACAGUGCAGAAACGAUGGAUGAAACUGAAGCUCCUGGUUUUGUUGCAGUUAAAUUUAGGAGCUAUGGUCAGUUCAUGUAUAUUGUUUUCAAUCAUAGUCCCUUCAUGUAUACAUGUUCAUAGCAUUGUGAGGGGAGUAUAUAGGAACAGAGACUCUGACUGAAUUGCCUAUUGAAUUGUUUCUUACCCCAGGAGGCCGGAGCUGAUUGUGUCAUGUUUGAUUCUUAGAAAUAUUUUUGCUAGUGCUAACUGAACUUUAAUAGCGAUGGCUUCAACUAUAUUGAGUAAGAUCAUAUUGGGGUUUGGUUUGGUCAGAGUUACACUGUUGAAAUUGUUCAUUACAGAUUUAUAGCUGUAAUUCAAUCGAUACAUGUGGCAGUUUUUAUUUA